GCUUAGCUUCUGCAGUAGGAUAGCUCAGUUGGCAGAGCACGAGACUCUUCAAUCUCAGGUUCGUGGGUUUCAGCCCCAUGUUGGGUG